rnacentral:lncRNA from 1 species
CCUGCUCUUAAACAUAAAAUAGGCCUGUAUUUUUCUAUCUCAUGUAUUAGAAUAUACGACAUUUUGAACAAAAGUGGAAGGAGAACGAUAAGCUAGGGCUUGUGCUGGACCUUUAACCAUCGCCGUUACUCCAAAUACAACGAUCAUCAUAAGCAAAUUACGCUUGACCGGGUUGAUGUGGAUCAUGAUGCAAGAGUUGUCUGCCAAUUUUGCUGUAAAGAUCGGAAACCCGACAACAAUGGAAGAUUAACUUUUCGGCCUUCAAUUUGGACCUACAAAGUGCAGAUUUUUGCGAUUUACACGUCGUCGUCAUCGGCACCGUUGGGGGAUUGUUGACGACCGCCGUUUGAAUCGCUGUCAAAGGCGAGAGGAUCAAUGGCUCAAGCUCCGUUAAUCUAAUUGUAAAUAAUAGGUUUUUUGAAGCUCAUGUGAAAAUAUUAUGGUAACAGUAACAUUGGGGUUUUGAGCUAGUAGCCUCUCGACAUUAGGGUUGUUCUUGAACAAAGACGACGGAGUUUGAGAAUGAGUAAUUUGAAGAUUCUGCUAAUAUAUUUCAAUUUAUUUUGUUGUAUUUUCAUGUAUUUUAUUGUAUUCAUAUAUUUUUUUUCAUUAUAUUUCAAUAUCUUGCUAUAUUCUAUGUAUUUCAUUAUAUUUACUGUCUCACUGUAUUCCAUGAAU